rnacentral:tRNA from 1 species
UCGCAAAUAGCUUAAUGGAUUGAGCAGUUUUCUUGUACAAAAUCGGUUGUGGGUUCAAGUCCCACUUUGCAAUUA